UUUAGAGGAAGUAAAAGUCGUAACAAGGUUUCCGUAGGUGAACCUGCGGAAGGAUCAUUAGCGAAGUUCGGAAUGCAUGUUCGAUGUUGAUGCUGCCCAGCAAUGGGAUGUGCUCGCUCGGAUGUGUGUCCCUUCUCUAUCCACCCCAUUGUGAACCAAGUGUGUGAGCCGAAGAGAAAUCGGACGCUCGCAUGCAAACCUUUAACAUACCCCAAUUAAGUAUCAGAAUGUACCUUGCGUUAACUCGCACAAAUAUAACUUUCAACAACGGAUCUCUUGGCUCUCGCAUCGAUGAAGAACGCAGCGAAAUGCGAUAAGUAAUGUGAAUUGCAGAAUUCAGUGAAUCAUCGAAUCUUUGAACGCACCUUGCACCCCUUGGUAUUCCGAGGGGUAUGCCUGUUUGAGUGUCAUGGUAUUCUCAACCCCCAAAUUCUUUAUUGAGUCUUGGUGGGCUUGGACUUGGAGGUUGUGCUGGAUUUUUAUUAAUUCAGCUCCUCUGAAAUAUAUUAGUGUGAAUCUUACGGAUCGCCUUCAGUGUGAUAAUUGUCUACGCUGUGGUUGUGAAGUAUAUUUGUAUUCAUGCUUCUAAUCGUCUCUUACUUGAGACAAUUACAUCUUUGACAUCUGACCUCAAAUCAGGUAGGACUACCCGCUGAACUUAAGCAUAUCAAUAAG
rnacentral:rRNA from 1 species